GUUUUUGAAGUGUUAAUAAUGGCACGUUAGGUUUUCAUCCUAAAAGUGUAGAGCUUAUCUACUAAAAAUACC
rnacentral:tRNA from 1 species